UACGAAGGGGGCUAGCGUUGCUCGGAAUUACUGGGCGUAAAGGGCGCGUAGGCGGACAUCUAAGUCAGGGGUGAAAUCCCAGGGCUCAACCCUGGAAUUGCCUUUGAUACUGGACGUCUCGAGUUCGGGAGAGGUGAGUGGAAUUCCGAGUGUAGAGGUGAAAUUCGUAGAUAUUCGGAGGAACACCAGAAGCGAAGGCGGCUCACUGGCCCGAUACUGACGCUGAGGCGCGAAAGCGUGGGGAGCAAACAGG
rnacentral:rRNA from 1 species